UGGCAAAUGAUAUUUUUUUGUGUGGGUGGUCGUAUUUUUUCAUAUUUUAUUUGGUCUGUGGUUGGACUGUUAAAAAAUGUUUAUUAUGGGUAGUGGGUAGUUUCUAUUGUUUUUUAAUUUUGUGCCACUUUUCAGAAUAUUUUUAUUGUCGCUCUUGUCGUGUUGGUUACAAAACGUCGGAGGGAAAAUUGAAAACGUGCUUUCGAAAUGCUGCUUUCGAAAUCGAAAGUAACAUAGAACUAUUCGAGUUGUCGCUCUUUGCAGCGCAUAACUUUCCAUUACGGCACUCUUCAAAUUAGAGGCGCGUUUAAUAGGGUCCCUUUGGACGUGAUGGCGGCGAACUCUGUUCUGUAGAUUAUUACAGUUUAAAGUGCAUCGAUUUUGGGAAUAUUUUGAAACCAAUAGGUAUUCCGUUUUCUAAUAAAAAUAGGCAAACCUUAGUUGAUUUAAACGAGGGUACCGAUGCGUUAUAUUUAUCAGUCGGUGUGAUGGUGAUAUAGAGGCCUCCGGGCGCGGGCUCCAUUUGAAGACGAACGAUUCGUGGAAAAACAUAUCCAUACCCAUUUCAUGAUAAUAGCAUCAUUUGGACUCCCAAUCUUUCCAACAUUCCCGCCAUAGAUGCCUUUGAUUGUUGAUGUGACAUCGUUUCUUCAGAACUACUGUGAUACAAUGUCGCACAGGCAUUACCGCGUCAUUGACUAGAAUGUUUGUCCCGAAAACCUCACGAGAUUUGUACCGUUUUCAUUUUUAAAAAUAUUUUUGUGGUGGGUCUGGUUAGUUUUUUUUUUUUAUUAGAUGGGUCAUUGUAAAAUGAGUUUAUUAAUUUGAUGGGACAUGGGGUAAUUUUUUAUUUUUUUUUUUAUGGGUGCUUGGUAUAUACAAAAGGUGCCU